rnacentral:rRNA from 1 species
AUUGAACGCUGGCGGCAGGCCUAACACAUGCAAGUCGAACGAGUGGCGGACGGGUGAGUAAUGUCUGGGAAACUGCCCGAUGGAGGGGGAUAACUACUGGAAACGGUAGCUAAUACCGCAUACCAUCGGAUGUGCCCAGCUGGGAUUAGCUAGUAGGUGGGGUAACAGCUCACCUAGGCGAGGAUCCCUAGCUGGUCUGAGAGGAUGACCAGCAACACUGGAACUGGGACACGGUCCAGACUCCUACGGGAGGCAUCAGUGGGGAAGAUGGCACAAUGGGCGCAAGCCUUAUACAGCCAGGCCGCGUGUAUUAUGAAGGCCUUCGGUUUGUAAAGUACUUUCAGCGAGGAGGCGUUAAUCGCAGAAGAAGCACCGGCUAACUCCGUGCCAGCAGCCGCGGUAAUAC